rnacentral:rRNA from 1 species
UACGAAGGGUGCAAGCGUUAAUCGGAAUUACUGGGCGUAAAGGGUGCGUAGGCGGUUCGUUAAGUCUGUCGUGAAAUCCCCGGGCUCAACCUGGGAAUGGCAAUGGAUACUGGCAGGCUAGAGUGUGUCAGAGGAUGGUGGAAUUCCCGGUGUAGCGGUGAAAUGCGUAGAGAUCGGGAGGAACAUCAGUGGCGAAGGCGGCCAUCUGGGACAACACUGACGCUGAAGCACGAAAGCGUGGGGAGCAAACAGG